rnacentral:lncRNA from 1 species
UCUUUUUUUACUUAUUUCAUAUGUAUUUAGUAUAUCUUUCUUAUCUAAGUUAUUAUUAUAUAUUACUUCUUCUUAUUUUAUUUCUUACUUAUGUUUUAUUAGGACCUAAAGUGAUUUUGAUGUCGUGUACAUGAAUAUGUACCCCACGAUCCUUUGAUAGAACCAUAUAUUAGAGGAUAUGGUUUUGGAAAUCUCCUCAACAUAGUCCCGUACUCG